CUCGAAUUAAUGCAAGUAUGAACAAACACAAUAUUCUAACCCUGGAGACUACCUCGUCUCUCCUUGUAGAUGCAGCCGCCACCUCAGUUCCCAUUGAGAUUCCGUUCGUUCUCAUUGUCAAGCCUCAGCGAGUCCCUCUGCCAAUGAAGAAGCAUCGUCACUUAAGCCCCAUAGAUGCAACCCCAGUUGUCAUUCAAGAUCCAUUGCCUUCACUCAAGCUUGAACACGUCCUUCCGCCGACCUUUGUCAGUUGUCUUCAUUGAUUCCCUCUGCUGUCAUCAUCAAAGACCCAUAUUGUCUAUUUUCUCGCAGUUCACUCAAAAGCCUUCUUUCCUCCUCAUUUUGAUUCUCACUCAGAAACACACCUAUCCCAAACCCUAUUCCUCCUCUUUUCCAUUUGCCACUCACCGUUCGAAUAUCUGUUCAACCUUACUUAAUCUCUACAACUCGUUCACCCUCUCAUUUCCUCCACAAGUCCAUGAAUGGCCUUCGCCUCUUCUUCUCAGUGAGACUGCUGCCCUCGACUGCUUUUCGCAUGAAUCGCCUUCAUUAUCUAGAUUGGACCGCCUUGAAGAAACUUUUUGAUGAUGGUGUAGUUAUGUGAGAAGAUGUGUGGAUCACCUCGAAACUCUGCUAAAAUUUUUAUGGCAUAUUUAACAGAACUAAAAAGAAAGAAGGCAUCCCUUUUUACCUUCUGGUCGUCUUUGCAAAACUCUUCUUACUAGAGUUGAUACAAGAUGCACUUCCUAUAUAAAUGUUUAUAGCUCUGUACCUAAAACGACACUAAAAGAUUUACCCAAAAAAAUGAUGUUAAAAGUACUGAUUGAAUAAAUGAACCUGAAUAUUUGAUUUAAUUUGAUUGAAAUAUUUUUAAAUAAAUGUUUAUAGUUCUAUGGCUACAAUGACAUUAAAAGAUUUACCAAAAAAAAAAAUGACGUUGAAAGUACCAAUUGGAUAACUGAACCUGAAUAUUUGAUUUAGCUUCAUUGAAAUAUUUUUAAUGUCUUAAAAUCAUCUUUUUAUUGUUAAAUUAAGCUAAAUAAACAUAGGUAUUCUAUCACAGGCAAAGGAAAAAAAAAUUGCAUACAGACGCAUCUAAAAGAUGUAUUUUAUUAGAAGGAUAUAUAUUAUGAUUUAAAAGUUAGCUUAAUUAUAUGUUUUUUACUUUUAAAUAAAUUUUGGUUGAUUAUAUGAAUUCAAUUGAUGAAAUAGUUGGAUGAAAAUUAAUGUCAGCAGUAUACAUGAGUCUUUCCAAUAUUAUUUCUUAUAUCAUUUCCUAAUUUAUAUCAUGCAAAUCAAGAUAACUUUUUUCCUCUUAGGAUAAUGCACACCGGAGAUUUUAUGAAAUUUCAGUACAUUACUACUAUUUUUUGCUUGAAAAUGAGAUUUCGGUUAAGAAGGUGCUCACAAGUUUUGAGGGUUGGUGUUUGAAUAUUUUGCAGUCAAGAUGUCAAUUUUAUUUUGCUAAAAAAAAAAAAAAAGAUGUCAAUUUUAACCAUGCGUUGCCAAAUCCAAGCCUAGUGAUUGAAACGGUGCAUAGUGAAGCAUGGAAUGCCUUGGCCAUUGAACAAUCUAAAUUCCCUUCUCCUAUUGACACUUAUAUGAGGAUGCUUAAUCUCAUCAUUUCUUCUGAUGAAAAAUGGGAUUCGAACAACCGUUGCGUGGAUGGUUCAUACCUAGAAGUGCUUAUGGAAGAUACAACUUCAUAUCUUGAUGUCAUGGAAAUUGUGUAUGAGAAAUUCUGAUUGGAUGCAAGUCAUAAGGUCAAAUUGAUGGUCUUUCUUAAUAUUGAAACUUCAACAUAUAGUAUUUUAGAAGUCAAGAAUGAAUGACAAUAAUUUGAUAUGGUAUUUUAAUUCGUUGAAAAAUUCUAAUCUCUUUAACUUUCCAUUUAUUGUCUCUAUUUUAAAUGAACCUUUUUGUCCAUACAAUAAGUGUUUGAACCUUUCCAUGAAGGAGGGAGUUCCAUAACUUCAUGUUCUAUUACAUUUAUCAAUAAUAAGCAUUGUAGUGGACCUUAUGAGCUUUAGCAAAUGGACGAUAUUAAGAAGGGAGAUGCAUUUUUUAGCAAAUCAGAAGUUCAAAAAGUUUUGCAACUCUUAACUAUGAAGAGGACUUUUGAAUAUAAAACUCUCAAAUCAAAGAACAUGAAGGCUUGUUGUUGUACUCUCAAAUUAAAUGGUGGAAGGCUUGUUGUUGCUUGUAGUGUUUAUAGUUGUAAGUGGUAUGUAUGGGCCUCAAUGAUUUCUUGUACUUAGGUUUGGGUCAUUAGACAGUAUGUUAAGGACCAUACCUGUGCUGUUAACAUCGUGUAUUGUGAUCAUAGACAAGCAACAAGCCUUAUCAUUAGUGAAUGUGUGAAGCAAAAAGUCACGAUGGAGAAUGUAAUGAUCUAAAAUCAAUAAUUAAGCAUAUGCAUAAGGAAUUUGGAGUUGGUAUUAGUUAUUACAAGUCAUGGAGAGCAAAAUAACUUGUUUUGGAAGUAAUUCAAGGUUGUCCAGUGGACUCUUAUGUCCAACUAUCUUCCUUGUGUUAUGCUUUGGC